rnacentral:rRNA from 1 species
UACGGGGGGGGCAAGCGUUGUUCGGAAUUACUGGGCGUAAAGGGCUCGUAGGCGGCCAACUAAGUCAGACGUGAAAUCCCUCGGCUUAACCGGGGAACUGCAUCUGAUACUGGAUGGCUUGAGAUUGGGAGAGGGAUGCGGAAUUCCAGGUGUAGCGGUGAAAUGCGUAGAUAUCUGGAGGAACACCGGUGGCGAAGGCGGCAUCCUGGACCAACACUGACGCUGAGGAACGAAAGCCAGGGGAGCAAACGGG